rnacentral:rRNA from 1 species
UACGGAGGGGGCAAGCGUUAUUCGGAAUUAUUGGGCGUAAAGGGCGCGUAGGCGGCUAGAUGUGUCAAAGGUGAAAUCCCUCGGCUCAACCGAGGAACUGCACUCGAUACUGGUUGGCUAGAGUCCGGGAGGGGAUGGUGGAAUUCCCAGUGUAGCGGUGAAAUGCGUAGAUAUUGGGAAGAACACCGGUGGCGAAGGCGGCCAUCUGGACCGGAACUGACGCUGAGGCGCGAAAGCCAGGGGAGCGAAUGGG